CGAACGCUGGCGGCAGGCCUAACACAUGCAAGUCGACCGAACUCUUCGGAGUUAGUGGCGGACGGGUGAGUAACACGUGGGAACGUGCCUUUUGGUUCGGAAUAACUCAGGGAAACUUGUGCUAAUACCGAAUGUGCCCUUCGGGGGAAAGAUUUAUCGCCAUUAGAGCGGCCCGCGUCUGAUUAGCUAGUUGGUGAGGUAACGGCUCACCAAGGCGACGAUCAGUAGCUGGUCUGAGAGGAUGACCAGCCACACUGGGACUGAGACACGGCCCAGACUCCUACGGGAGGCAGCAGUGGGGAAUCUUGCGCAAUGGGCGAAAGCCUGACGCAGCCAUGCCGCGUGAAUGAUGAAGGUCUUAGGAUUGUAAAAUUCUUUCACCGGGGACGAUAAUGACGGUACCCGGAGAAGAAGCCCCGGCUAACUUCGUG
rnacentral:rRNA from 1 species